rnacentral:lncRNA from 1 species
UUGAGUUUGGCCGUAGUAAACUGCAGCCACGAAGUGGAGGGAUAAGUGUGGAAAAUAGUCCUCUAAUCCCAUUGAACGGGUAGCUUCUUUUAUGUCGAGUUAUCCUCCCUUAAAGCAUGGAAUUGAAGCUCCUUAAAAUGUAAAAAUUGGGUCUACUUGAAGAGUCGUUGAAGUGCUAGCUGAAGACAAAGAGCCAUCACCUGCUUGAACAUCAACUUGGAGUGCCCUGAAAAAUCAAUUCUAUUCCUAAUCUCGGAAAAUCUCAUCUUGUUCCUUGGUAUGCUGCAAAAUGUCAAGGAAAAGUUGAUGAGUACAGAUUCCUAUCAGGACAAAGAGAGCAACAGAAACAGAGGUUAUACCUUUCCAUGCAAUACUUUGAAGGAUGCUUCUAACCGAAAGCCUAUGUUUUCUGAAAG